rnacentral:siRNA from 1 species
GAAAAGUUGGUGGACUCCGUUUGC